rnacentral:rRNA from 1 species
UGAGGGGAUAUUGGUCAAUGGGGGAAACCCUGAACCAGCAACGCCGCGUGAGGGAUGACGGCCUCGGGUUGUAAACCUCGUCCUCUGUGAAGAUAAUGACGGUAGCAGAGGAGGAAGCUCCGGCUAACUACGUGCCAGCAGCCGCGGUAAUACGUAGGGAGCAAGCGUUGUCCGGAUUUACUGGGUGUAAAGGGUGCGUAGGCGGUUUGGUAAGUCAGAAGUGAAAUCCAUGGGCUUAACCCAUGAACUGCUUUGAACUAUCGAACUUGAGUGAAGUAGAGGUAGGCGGAAUUCCCGGUGUAGCGGUGAAAUGCGUAGAGAUCGGGAGGAACACCAGUGGCGAAGGCGGCCUACUGGGCUUUAACUGACGCUGAGGCACGAAAGCAUGGGUAGCAAACAGGAUUAGAUACCC